rnacentral:rRNA from 1 species
GAUGAACGCUGACAGAAUGCUUAACACAUGCAAGUCGAUGGGGAAGUGGUGCUUGCACCAUGGUAACCAUGGCGGACGGGUGAGUAACGCGUAAGGAACUUACCUGCGGGACCGGGAUAACAGCAGGAAACUGCUGACAAGACCGGAUAAGGUCAUUAAGCUGCAUAGCUUAGUGAUGAAAGGAGACGCCUGCGGAGAGCCUUGCGUCCUAUUAGCUAGUUGGAGGGGUAACGGCCCACCAAGGCGAAGAUAGGUAGCCGGCCUGAGAGGGUGGACGGCCACAAGGGGACUGAGAUACGGCCCUUACUCCUACGGGAGGCAGCAGUGGGGAAUAUUGGACAAUGGGGGCAACCCUGAUCCAGCAAUUCUGUGUGCACGAAGACGGUUUUCGGAUUGUAAAGUGCUUUCAGCAAGGAAGAAGGAAGUGACGUUACCUGCAGAAGAAGCGACGGCUAAAUACGUG